CGAACGGGUGAGUAACGCGUGAGGAACCUGCCUCAAAGAGGGGGACAACAGUUGGAAGCGACUGCUAAUACCGCAUAAGCCCACGGCUCGGCAUCGAGCAGAGGGAAAAGGAGCAAUCCGCUUUGAGAUGGCCUCGCGUCCGAUUAGCUAGUUGGUGAGGUAACGGCCCACCAAGGCGACGAUCGGUAGCCGGACUGGGAGGUUGAACGGCCACAUUGGGACUGAGACACGGCCCAG
rnacentral:rRNA from 1 species